GCAUGUCCCAUUUUUUUGUCUGGCAGCAAGCGGCACCUGUUCCAGGAAGACACAUGGCAUAAGAGGUGCUGAGUCAGCAAACAGGCCUGACAGAAACAUGGUGCUCUGUCUCAUCCAAAAAGAUGUCCUUCGAGACCACAGCGGCUAGACAACGACGACGACAACAACAACAACAACAUGAAGUGGGACACUCAUCUCUCACAGGCCAUGGCAGAGUCACGAGAUAAUGAAGCUGUUGAGAGAUAAAGAGUGUGAAGAGGAGGGAGGGCGAGAGGGAACGAGUGAAAGUGAUCACUCCGAAAAAAGAGUGACAGUGUGGAAACAACAACGGAUAGGGAGGCAGAACAGCAUUGCCCCUUCAAGGUCAACUCCUCAGGUUCGCAGGUCGUAUCAUUGGCCAGCCUAUGACAAGGGUCCUGUCCUGGGAGGAGAUCCUUAAUGACGGAAUGCCCCUUUGGAUCAUCGGAGCAAUGACGAGAAACCAACCAUGCAUCACCUGAGUUGCUGCCCUGGAGGAAACAGAUAAUACUUAAUCUAGCCAACCUCAUUACAGCUGUCCAUGUUUUACUGGCUCCACCGAUACAGCUGAAUUUUCUAUCGCUUGCCUUACUUAUGAUGAAAAAGUGUCCACCUAAUAUUUUUUUCUCCCCCCUCCCCAAACACAGGAGUAUGUGUGGAGGUUAUUAACUGCUUUAAUUCCUAAUGAUGCCUGACAGGUGCUAUCUUGGUGAGAUUAAGGACUGGGUGGGUUAAUGAUGGGAUUGGUAAGAUUGUCAUAACUCACAAUAGGACCAUUAAAGUGAUAUUACGAAAAGGACUGCUGCUGAUAUGUGUUUAACUCUGGCAAGGUGGCACCAGGCAAUCUAUCAUUUUUUUUUUCUUUAUGUGAUUUUCUUGCCUGCAGGGCCCAGUUCUAGAUGCGUGAGGAAUGUCAAAUAAUGCCGGCCAUGAAGAACGGAAGGCGAUUUGGUAGAAAUGAGGAUGAGAGAAGGUAUAGGAAAGAAGGAUAGAGGUAGAGAGAGUUGUGAACGAUGUUUGCAGGGCAAAUGUGUGAAUAAUAAAAAGGAAUAAUCAUUUGACA
ensembl:lncRNA